rnacentral:rRNA from 1 species
AUCGAACGCUGGCGGCAGGCCUAACACAUGCAAGUCGAACGAGUGGCGGACGGGUGCGUAAUGUCUGGGAAACUGCCCGCUGGAGGGGGAUAACUACUGGAAACGGUAGCUAAUACCGCAUACCAUCGGAUGUGCCCAGAUGGGAUUAGAUAGUAGGUGGGGGAACGGCUAACCUAGGCGACGAUCCCUAGCUGGUCUGAGAGGAUGACCAGCAACACUGGGACUGAGAAACGGCCCAGACUCCUACGGGAGGCAGCAGUGGGGAAGAUUGCGCAAUGGGCGCAAGCCUGAUGCAGCCAUGCCGCGUGUAUGAAGAAGGCCUUCGGGUUGUAAAGUACUUUCAGCGGGGAGGCGUUACUCGCAGAAGAAGCACCGGCUAACUCCGUGCCAGCAGCCGCGGUAAUUC